CCUGGAAAAGGAGCUAUUGUAUGACAUGUAAAUGAAGAAAACAUCUAAUUAAAUAAAAUAAAUAUACUUGAUGUUUUAAAAUAUCAGAAAAUUUUAGUUGUGAUAGGGCUGAAAGAGUGACCACAAAGAGAAAGAACUGGAAACUUAAGUAAGUAAAGGACAUUCUCUAAAAGCCUGAAGACCCAAGUUUGAUCCCCAGAGCCUAGUAAGCCAGGUUUGGUAGCAUGAUUGCAACCUCAGUGCUAAGGAGAAGUAGAGACAGAUCCCUGGGGUCCUCUGAUCAGUCACCCUAGCCUAAUUGGCAAAGUUCCAGAACAUUGAAAGACACUGUUUUUUAAUAAUGUGGACAAUGCCUGAGGACUUACGUUUAAUGUUAACUCUCUAGCUGGAUCCUACAUUCUCCCCCUAUAUGACAUUCUGCUUUAAUUCUCUAUUUUUUAAAUCUACUAAGUCCAAUCAUCCAUAUUUCUAAAGAAAGGAGACAAUAGCUCUUUGCUUAUAACUCCUUAGCUUAGGGUGGGCCCUCAGGACCCCCUCCGUAUUCCAUAAUGGAGUCUUGAUAUGUUACUGGUCUAAUGUACUUAAUCACAGUUUUUGUGAGCUCUUUGUGCAAUAGCCAUAUCAAAUGUAAAGUUUUCGUUUCAUAACACCCUUCUUCAUCCUGUCUUUUACAUGCUUUCUUUAUUUUCCAUGGUGAAAUCGUAAACUUAUAUGUCAAGUUGGAGUAGAGAAAACAAUGAUAUUCUUCUUUUUAUUAAUAUCUAGCCUGCAUCAUAUAACUUAACCCACUAUAAAUGAGAUUGUAUUAUUUUAUAGUUUCUCAUGUAAUUCACCUCUGUCUUGACUGCUGUAAUUAACUUGAAGCUUUAGGGAAAACACUGGGCAUUGUGUUACAUACCUGUAAUUCUGAUACUUAGUCAGAAGAGUUGUUAUUUUGAACCCACCUGAGGUGUAUGUAGGGGAUAUAGGGCCAUCCCGAGCCAUAUGAGAACCCGUCUCAAUAUACAUUUCCUGUGAGUGUCCUCAAAACAUUUUUUAUUUCAGUCGUGUGGAGUACACAGUCAAUAUUCUGAGAAUAUAUUAUAAUCUUCCCCACAGUACCUGCCAGCCUUGAGUGCAAAGGAAUCACUUCUAGUCCCAGGAUUUGGAAGGGGCUAGGCAGUCCUAGGCUUCAUGGUAUGGAAAUCAAGAGACUUAGAAGUUACUGGUGCUUUAGAAAUACUCUGAAGGGAGUAUAAAGGCCACCAGAGAAAGAAGCGUCAUUCAUUGGUAGGCAUGGUUUAAAAGUGACCAAAUCAUGAGAUAAAAAAAAAAAAAUGUUUAAGUAAGAAAACAAGUCCGAUGAUAUGGAAGAACGUUUAUGUUUAUAACCACAAUAAAGAGGAAAUGCUCCAUAAAGAAAGCAUUGAGAAGUAUAGAAUUGCAUCUAUCAUAUACUAUGAGUAAAUACCCAAAAGAAUAUUUACCAUUUCUAAAAGUCUAAAUAACUACAGAUAUUAUUUAUAAUCCUAUGUUUGAAACUUUUUUUAAAAACAAAAUCAAUUGGUUGGACUAAAUAUGAUGAGGAAGUUGUUACUGUAUAUCUACAUAUAAUGCAUAUUAUUAUAAAAUAUUUAGACAGGUAACGUGAUCAAUGUUUAUGCUUUGGCUGCAGUCCAAAAUUGUCUAAACAUGUUAAAAUAAGUAUAGUGAAAUCAGAAAACUUGGCUGGAGAGAUGGCUUAGUUGAUAAGAGCACUGGCUACUCUUCAGAGGACCCAGGUUCUGAUCUCAGCAGCACAUAGUACUCACAGCUAUCUAUAACCCCAGAACCACAGGCAUCUGAUAACCCCUUUUGGCCUCCACAGACACAAGGAAUAGGCAUAAUGCACAUACACACUUGUAGGCAAAUACUCAUACACAUGAAAUUUAAAAAUCAGAAAAUAGAAGAUCAUUGAUUUCGUGAUGUACAAAACUAAAAUAUAGUAUGUCGCAUCAAGGAAUACUGAGAAAGCACUUGUAUAAAUUCACUCUGAUCUAGUUCCUAUGAAAUGGAAAGUACAGAAUGAAUAACAGAACUACUGCAUUUGUGGAUGAUCUUAUCACCUUACUAACCCAUCUCAUUAUUCUGUUGUAAUUGCAAAGCCUUUUAAAUCACCCCUAUUCAUGUGUGUGUGUGUGUGUGUGUGUGUGUGUGUGUGUGUAUACAUGUGAUGUACAAUAUAUUCCAGUGAAGUGAUUCCUUGAACUUCAUGUUUGUCUUUCUUCUGUCUCCCCAACCAUCUCCACACACAUCUUUAAGACUCCCAGUGGUCUCAAUGGCCAAUAGUGCCCAACAGAAGUGUUCCUAACCAUUGACACUGUCAUGUCCCAUCAAUAGCAAGAGGUUCAUGAGCAAAGAAAUAUGACCCUGCUCGUAGAUACUUGUAUCUUGCUCUUAGAUACUGACCUUGUAACCCUUCCUUUGACGGAUACUAUAUUAAAGUAGUGGGCCUUUUGGAACUUUUUAGUCAGAUCUUAAGUGUUUGAGGGUGAAUCCUAACCCGAGGAGUAAUGCCAGAGACCAGGACCAAAAUGCCAAACUCAUUCUCCAUGUUUGGAAGAUAUUUACCCAGCUUAAGCAUUGCUAUUUACAAACACUCUUUUGUACUUAAUUGUAGAUUUUUGCUCACUUUGAAUGCCCCCUUCAUUUUUAAAACAGAUUUUUUUCACAAUUCUCAAUGGAUAGGAUGAUUGUUAUUAAUGGUCAGUUUGACAGAUCACCUGGCAGACAAGCCUCUGGGUAUGGCUGUGUGGCUUAGCUUGCUACCAAUUGAUGUGUGAAGAACUAUCCUAAUUGUGGGUAAGACCAUUUUCUGGACAGGGAACUCUGGUCUGUGUGCAUGGAGAAAGGGAACUGAACAGCAAUUAAAUUCAGCUCUUUUUUUUUUCCCCAGAUGUGGCUCUGAUGGAACCACCUGCUUCAGACUCCUGCCACUGUAUAUUUCCUGCCAUGAUGGAAUGCACCUUGAACUGUGGUCUAAAAUAAAGCUUGUCUCCUUUAAGUUACUCCAUCAGAAUAUUUUAUCACAGCUCUUCCUUACAGUAAGCUUAAGAUGGAGCGAGCCUAACAUAGACGGGCAGGCUCCACAUUGGCCACGAGAAGAGAUUAGGUUUACAGUGAAAGUGAUUCCUUAGUCUCAGAGAAUAGAAUGGCUUCAUUAUAACAAACAUAAAAACAAACCCAAGCAUAGCUAGAAGAGCUCUCAAAAGAGACUUGGUAUACCAGGAGCCAAAAGAAUUGCCUGUUUAUGUUUCUCAAAUGCAUUUAACAAAAUUUCAGAUAAUUUUUCCUUUGAAGAUCAAUCUCAAGGCUCUGAAACGAUACAGAUAGGCACUAUCUUACCUGCUGUCUAAAAUGAGAGAAUUUGGAAGGGCUUUGUCAUGAUGUAAACAACUGUUAAAGGGGUAUAGUGAGGUUCUGCUAGCAGAAUCCACCUAUGGCCCUAGCAUAUGGCCCACUUGAUACAAAUCUGUAAAGAAUUCUUAGAAGACAAUACAGAUAUAUGUUUUUAGCUGAUAUAUGUGUCCAGAAGUACUCAAGAAAGCAUACCUGGCUGUACCUGGUGCCUUUGAAACUUGGCAUCAGAGUUUAGACAAGUUUCAUCAACAGACUGAGUGUUCUUCUCCCAUCAGUAUCCUUCCUCUGGAUGGAAAGGAGAAAUCAUCACAUCCAGUUUCUCAAAGUGAACACUUAUUUGGCAGGUACAAGCUACUGUAACUACAGUGAGAGUAAACAUGAGCAAGUCUCUGAAGAGUAGAAUGUUGAGUCCUUUGGCAUAUGCCAAGGAAUGAGGGGAAACCGGAAAAGAAGAUAUCAUAUGACAUG